CCGGACGGUCGCCCAGCAUCGCGCAGGAAAAUAGCAGUAAGCAGGGGGCACCGUUAUUAAAAACUAACGUGACUAACAGGCGACACAGGAGCCCGUCGUAUACAUCACC